UUGAGAGUUUGAUCCUGGCUCAGAACGAACGUUGGCGGCGUGGAUGAGGCAUGCAAGUCGAACGUGAAAACCCUCGGGUGAGUAGCGUGGCGGACGGGCGAGUAACACGUAAUCAAGCUACCUGCUAGACGGGGAUAACUUCGGGAAACCGAUCGUAAGACCCGAUAGUCUCACGAUACCGCAUGGUGAUGUGAGUAAAUGGACGGGAUCCUUCGGGACCGUCUGCUAGCAGAGGUGAUUGCGGCCCAUCAGUUUGUUGGUAGGGUAAUGGCCUACCAAGACUACGACGGGUAGCCGGCCUAAGAGGGUGGCCGGUCGCACUGGGACUGAGACACUGCCCAGACUCCUACGGGAGGCUGCAGUCGAGAAUCUUCCGCAAUGGACGCAAGUCUGACGGAGCGACGCCGCGUGGAGGACGAAGGCCUUCGGGUUGUAAACUUCUGUCACGAGUUAAGAAGGUUGCAUGGUUAAUAUCCGUGCAACUUGACGAAGGCUCGAGAGGAAGCACUGGCUAACUCUGUGCCAGCAGCCGCGGUAAUACAGAGAGUGCGAACGUUGUUCGGAAUUACUGGGCUUAAAGAGUACGUAGGCGGCAUAGCAAGUGUUAGGUGAAAUCCCACGGCUUACCCGUGGAACUGCCUAGCAAACUGCUGAGCUAGAGUGUGGUAGGGGAGAACAGAACUCAUGGUGGAGCGGUGAAAUGCGUAGAUAUCAUGAGGAAUACCGGUGGCGAAGGCGGUUCUCUGGUCCACAACUGACGCUGAGGUACGAAAGCUAGGGUAGCGAACGGGAUUAGAUACCCCGGUAGUCCUAGCCGUAAACGAUGGGCACUAGCUUGGGGCCUCCCUGUGUGGUUCCAGGUGAAGCAAAAGUAAUAAGUGCCCCGCCUGGGGAGUAUGGUCGCAAGGCUGA
rnacentral:rRNA from 1 species